ensembl:lncRNA SERPINB9P1 serpin family B member 9 pseudogene 1
GAAGGAAAGGGGGCGGCGUCCUUCACAGGGAGGGUGCAGCUGACCUCCCUCCCCUUGUGCAGACUGGAAAAGAAUGGCCCAGAUCCUCUGGACUCCUCAGAUGAGCGGAUUCAGAGAGAAGCUUUUGAGAGCGUGCUGGCGGAGACAUUUUUCACAAAAGAGCCCUUGCGGUGCUGGUGUCCGUGGCGUGCCUGGGAGGCACCCUUUCCUGAGUUGGAGCAUCCCAAGACACAAGCUGAAGAUGACAGCCCAGAGUUGGGUCCCCAGGGGAGAGCCUGUGUCUCUCUGGCCAAAGCCUGGGGAAGCGGAGCCCUCAGCCAGGCAUCAGCUCAUCAAAGCCAUCCAGGAGGACCAGGAUGGAGGCCAGGGCUGGGAGGAACACAGGUCCUGGACAGACAAGGAUGAGGAGAAAUUCUGGGCUUACCUAAGGCAAAGAGAAGAAGGGCCUGGGCAUGGAAAGAGGCCCGCUGGGGUUUGCCAGAGACCCUGGUCUGAGAAUGCUCUGCCAGGGCAUGAGCACACCUCUGCUCUAGAAUGUCCCCACCGAGUGGCCUGGAAUUCCAGAAAUCAAGAUCCCCUGGGAGUGUUUUGAUGAUAGUUGUCAUGCUACCUAACGUCUACCUGACAUCAGCAUGGCUGAGAGGUGGCAUAGCAGUUAGGUGUGUGAGUUCUGUAGCCAGAGGGCUUGUGUUUGGCCCUCAUUCUGCCACUUACAAAUUAAACCUUCUUAGUUAAAUGA